ensembl:lncRNA
GUCACUGUGGAGGCUGAUAGGAGCUAGGAGCCAGGCAGCCAGUCCCAGGUCACCGUGGAGGCUGGUAGGAGCUAGGAGCCAUGCCGCCAGUCACUGUGGAGGCUGGUAGGAGCUAGGAGCCAGGCAGCCUGUCCCAGGUCACUGUGGAGGCUGGUAGGAGCUAGGAGCCAGGCAGCCAGUCACUGUGGAGGCUGGUAGGAGCUAGGAGCCAGGCAGCCAGUCCCAGGUCACUGUAGAGGCUGGUAGGAGCCAGGCAGCCAGUUCCAGGUCACUGUAGAGAACUGUUGGAGCUAGGAGCCAGGCAGCCAUCCCCAGGUCACUGUAGAGGCUGGUUGGAGCUAGGAGCCAGGCAGCCAGCCCCAGGUCACUG